UAUAUAUAUAUAUAUAAAUAUUUUGCUCACAGAUCAUUAUUAACAUUCUGUAUAUAAUUCAAUUUUAUUUACUCUCCCCUUUUUAUUAUUUUUAUUUUUAGCUGAAAAGACGUAAAGGCAGUCAGCCCAGUGGUGUUUCUGGAGAGGGAUUCCUUCAGAAAUGGAGAAGACAGAAAGCUGCGGAGGCAGAUAUUUGCAGCAGUCUAAAAUAUCAAGCUCAACAGCUCACUCAAGAGCCAACCCUCACAAACCUUCCUAAAAACUAAAAGAGCUAUUACUGAGUCUCAGCGAAUCUUGCCAUGAUCAGCUCUUCCCAGAAGAGAAGGCAGACCAAGGAAAUGAUUUGCUCAAGAUGAGGAAUGAAGAUGGCCAUCUUGUGCUCAAACAAACAGAAGUCCUCUGUAUUUUAAUUUGUACAGAUGAUCUCAUCAGCCAAAUGAGGGGUUUUGACCAAGUGAUGCUCUUGAAAGGAGUGAAAGAAGAGGAUGUGCUAAAUUCUCUUCAGAGAAAAAGCUUCUCAAAAGGUCUCAAAACAGCUUGAACUACAAGGGUCAUAGUUGCUCACCCUGCUAAAAUCACACAGAACAUAAGCUGAGCUCUCUGUCCAUUAAACAACUUCAUCUGGAUUGUUUGUUUCACUUUGACCAGGUCUGGGAUGUUAGGACUGAGAGAUCCUCUGGCUGAGAACAAGCUACACCACAUCAGUGCUGGAUAUCAACCACAAACUGUUUCCAGACACGAGAGAAGAAGAUCAUGAUGGGGAGAUGAAACCAGUUUAGAUGUGAUGAUGGGAAUCAUUAUUUUCUGGAACAGUAUCUCAUGUCUUAUAUAUAUAUAUCACAUGAUCUGUAUCACAGUUGACUGGAUGGGACUGUGUGACUUUUAAGGACAUUUCAUCACUCAUCUGUGUGAACUGAUUUAUAUAUGAGGUUAAUGUAUUUUUGAUGAUAAUUAUUUUUAUUUAAUCUUAUUCGUCUUGAUGCUACUUUAUCAACUUUAUAGUCUAUGCUUCAAUAAAAUGAAAAUGGUGAAUAUUGUGUUCUGAAGAUUCUUGGUAAAUGCAUAAUUUUACUAGGUAGGCUCAUAUGUGUUUAUUUUAGACUUGGAAAAACAACAUAUUAAUUAUUGGGAUUAUUUUUUUAUUUAAGACAUAAACAUUUUUGAUCGGAUUAAUACCAUUUGGGACAUCAGUACACCAGAAAGUAAUUUUUUUAUAUUUUAGUAACAAAUAUGCAAUUUUUUUAGUGAAAUAAAGGGAGUUACGAGAUUAACUAUUCUGCAUUACAAGAUGGUGCCAUGGGCUUUAUUGUUACAAACACUUGAGGGAUAACUGAGAAUGUAGCAGGAAUGAUCAACGUGGAUCUUGUACUGCAUUAAAACCAAGAGCACACACAUGAUGUCCAGCACCUGAG